AUUGAACGCUGGCGGCAGGCCUAACACAUGCAAGUCGAACGGUAACAGGAAGCAGCUUGCUGCUUUGCUGACGAGUGGCGGACGGGUGAGUCAUGUCUGGGAAACUGCCCGAUGGAGGGGGAUAACUACUGGAAACGGUAGCUAAUACCGCAUAACGUCGCAAGACCAAAGAGGGGGACCUUAGGGCCUCUUGCCAUCGGAUGUGCCCAGAUGGGAUUCGCUAGUAGGUGGGGUAACGGCUCACCUAGGCGACGAUCCCUAGCUGGUCUGAGAGGAUGACCAGCCACACUGGAACUGAGACACGGUCCAGACUCCUACGGGAGGCAGCAGUGGGGAAUAUUGCACAAUGGGCGCAAGCCUGAUGCAGCCAUGCCGCGUGUAUGAAGAAGGCCUUCGGGUUGUAAAGUACUUUCAGCGGGGAGGAAGGGAGUAAAGUUAAUACCUUGGCUCAUUGACGUUACCCGCAGAAGAAGCACCGGCUAACUCCGUG
rnacentral:rRNA from 1 species